rnacentral:snRNA from 1 species
GUGCUCCCUUCAGCAGCGCAUGUACUAAACAAUAUAGAGAAGAUCAGCAUGGCCUCUGCACAAGGAUGACUUGCAAAUUCAUGAAGCAUUUCAUAUUUUU